UGAAAAUUCUUUUUUUCCUGUUUCUGUAGCGUUGCCAACCUCAGUUGAAUUAAUCUUCAGUCCUAGUGUAGAUGUGGUGGAAUGAAGCCAUAUGGGAGGAUUUUGUUCUAAUGUCAACACAGAAGAAACAGUUCUCAUCUUUAGAGGAGAAGAAAAGGGGAAUUGAAGUUUGUACCUGGAGGAGUAUCUUCAGAAGUCUGCAAGAGGAGGAUUUGGCAGGAGGACGGUUCCAAAGGCAGCACCUCCAAGGGGAAGACACGCAAUCAUUGUGCUCCUUCAAACCAAGCUCAGCUCUGCCUUUCAAACCAAACUCCAGGACUGCCAUCUUCUAAUGUGUAAAACAGCAGUAACAAUUCUUACUGUCAAGGUUGGUAUGAGAAUUAAUUGAAUUAAUGAAUGUAAACUAUGCAACAUAUCGAUGGUAUGAUA
rnacentral:lncRNA from 1 species